rnacentral:misc_RNA from 1 species
GCCAGCUUGACUUGAGUCUUGUAUGAACAAAUAGGGUUAAUGGAGGUAGGUGCUUGGCACCUUGGAGGCUAAAAGCCAAAUGGAUGAUUUGGGUAUGUUUGGUGGGUCAGUCAGAUUCACUGAAUCACUCUUGAAUGAAAAUGCUUAUUGUGAUUGUUGCUUGGAUCCUUAUAGUUGAAUAUUGAAUAUUCAGAAUUUGGGUGCUAAUUUGUAGCUUAUCAUGAGGAAUUUAUAUAAAAUUAUAUAAUUCAAUAAAAUGAGGGAAAGGAACUAGCUUUUAUUAUGUUUGCCUGGAGUCUCUCUUUAGUUUUGUUUCUGCAAAAAUGUGACUCCUAAUAUUUACAUCAACUUUGAAGUUAUAAUGCUGUUU